CGCCGGGGCUGUGCAGCUCCCCUGGCCUUGCCGGGUGGUUGUCGCCCGCCGAGCUCUCUCUCAGCCGCCUCCCGUUUGUCCCCAGGCAUGGUCGCCGCGCUGUAGGACGGCCGGGAGCCGCGGCGAUGGAGGAGAGCGUUUGAGAUUGUCUGCAGAGGCGUUCCGUGUGUGUGAGACGUGUAUGAUAAUGAUCCCAUGAAGAUAUGAAUGUUAAUUAUGAAGUAACAGAACACAUGUUCUAUGACCCUUUGAAUCUAUUUGAAGACCCUCUCUGGUGUUUGAAGAAAAGAAAGAUCUUGGCUAUACUGAGAGUUUUCCAGUUGGCAGAGUGUUCAGAGAUCAAGGGAGUCAAUCUGUCAGCAGACUUCUCUUCAGAUUGACAAUUUCUUCUGAUCACAGAGCCCAACAUUUUAGAAAGUGUGAGGUAAUACCCUCGUGCCAAGGUUAUGGAGACAGCCUGUAGUCUGGUAAGGUAA
rnacentral:lncRNA from 1 species